UUGGACGUCGUGGAGAGGUACCUCGAGAGUGUGUGUGCCGCCGGUGCCGGCCCAAACGCGACGAAAGCAUAGAUCCAGCAGGCCUCACGCUGCAGUCGGCGCAUUGCCAGUGCCAGGGAUGAUGAGUAGCGCAGUGCUCUGAGGUACAGUACAGAAGAGAUCGAAUUGGGGGAGGUCAAGAGAUGCGAGGAGCGAUGAACAGUGUACAGAGUGAAAAAUAAACUAAACUGUACUAAUAAUCAUGUGUUGGACGGCCCGUGUGUGUGGAUUGUAAAUGAAAUCGUGUGCUUCGACAGGAUUUUGAAGAAAUUUUGUGUGGAUUGUGGAUAAAAUCGUGUGCUUCGACAGGAUUUUGAAGAAAUUUUGCAACGCAUGGUCCGUGGGUGCAUACCUUCCUUCUGGGUGAGUGCGCAUCAGCUCAGAGCACCUAGGCUAGGCAUCGCCGGUCGCCGCUGCGCUUGCGCAGGCUACCGCAUCGGCCUCACACUAUCGACGGCCACUCCUUGCUGGACUAUCGGGUGGCAGGCGACUGUGACAACCACGGCGACGAGCCUAAUCGAAGCGGCGGCGCGGCGCGGAGGCGGGAGGGAAAUGCUCUGUUCCUGAUUUUGCGAGACCGCUACCGGCUAGUAGUACCCAGCGUGCCCGUCACGAUGAGGUUUCGCCGCUGCCGUUGGGCUGCUGCCGCCGGCCCACCGGGCUGCUUUGGAG
rnacentral:lncRNA from 1 species